rnacentral:rRNA from 1 species
GACGAACGCUGGCGGCGUGCCUAAUACAUGCAAGUCGAACGAACUCUGGUAUUGAUUGGUGCUUGCAUCAUGAUUUACAUUUGAGUGAGUGGCGAACUGGUGAGUAACACGUGGGAAACCUGCCCAGAAGCGGGGGAUAACACCUGGAAACAGAUGCUAAUACCGCAUAACAACUUGGACCGCAUGGUCCGAGCUUGAAAGAUGGCUUCGGCUAUCACUUUUGGAUGGUCCCGCGGCGUAUUAGCUAGAUGGUGGGGUAACGGCUCACCAUGGCAAUGAUACGUAGCCGACCUGAGAGGGUAAUCGGCCACAUUGGGAUUGAGACACGGCCCAAACUCCUACGGGAGGCAGCAGUAGGGAAUCUUCCACAAUGGACGAAAGUCUGAUGGAGCAACGCCGCGUGAGUGAAGAAGGGUUUCGGCUCGUAAAACUCUGUUGUUAAAGAAGAACAUAUCUGAGAGUAACUGUUCAGGUAUUGACGGUAUUUAACCAGAAAGCCACGGCUAACUACGUGCCAGCAGCCGCGGUAAUACGUAGGUGGCAAGCGUUGUCCGGAUUUAUUGGGCGUAAAGCGAGCGCAGGCGGUUUUUUAAGUCUGAUGUGAAAGCCUUCGGCUCAACCGAGGAAGUGCAUCGGAAACUGGGAAACUUGAGUGCAGAAGAGGACAGUGGAACUCCAUGUGUAGCGGUGAAAUGCGUAGAUAUAUGGAAGAACACCAGUGGCGAAGGCGGCUGUCUGGUCUGUAACUGACGCUGAGGCUCGAAAGUAUGGGUAGCAAACAGGAUUAGAUACCCUGGUAGUCCAUACCGUAAACGAUGAAUGCUAAGUGUUGGAGGGUUUCCGCCCUUCAGUGCUGCAGCUAACGCAUUAAGCAUUCCGCCUGGGGAGUACGGCCGCAAGGCUGAAACUCAAAGGAAUUGACGGGGGCCCGCACAAGCGGUGGAGCAUGUGGUUUAAUUCGAAGCUACGCGAAGAACCUUACCAGGUCUUGACAUACUAUGCAAAUCUAAGAGAUUAGACGUUCCCUUCGGGGACAUGGAUACAGGUGGUGCAUGGUUGUCGUCAGCUCGUGUCGUGAGAUGUUGGGUUAAGUCCCGCAACGAGCGCAACCCUUAUUAUCAGUUGCCAGCAUUAAGUUGGGCACUCUGGUGAGACUGCCGGUGACAAACCGGAGGAAGGUGGGGAUGACGUCAAAUCAUCAUGCCCCUUAUGACCUGGGCUACACACGUGCUACAAUGGAUGGUACAACGAGUUGCGAACUCGCGAGAGUAAGCUAAUCUCUUAAAGCCAUUCUCAGUUCGGAUUGUAGGCUGCAACUCGCCUACAUGAAGUCGGAAUCGCUAGUAAUCGCGGAUCAGCAUGCCGCGGUGAAUACGUUCCCGGGCCUUGUACACACCGCCCGUCACACCAUGAGAGUCUGUAACACCCAAAGUCGGUGGGGUAACCUUUUAGGAACCAGCCGCCUAAGGUGGGACAGAUGAUUAGGGUG